AGGUCGGAUUAGCUAGUUGGUGAGGUAAUGGCUCACCAAGGCUACGAUCCGUAACUGGUCUGAGAGGAUGAUCCAGUCACACUGGAACUGAGACACGGUCCAGACUCCUACGGGAGGCAGCAGUGGGGAAUAUUGGACAAUGGGCGAAAGCCUGAUCCAGCCAUGCCGCGUGUGUGAAGAAGGUCUUCGGAUUGUAAAGCACUUUAAGUUGGGAGGAAGGGCAUUAACCUAAUACGUUAGUGUUUGACGUACCGA
rnacentral:rRNA from 1 species